UGCUUGUGAAAAAAAACUCCUUUUUCCAUCAUUUCUAUCAAAUACCUAACUGCCUCUGUGGAGAAGCUAAAGAAUGACAUUGCAGAUCGUAGACAAUGAAGGGCUUUCAGAUGACUCAUAGCAGUACUGCUUAUCCCCCUCCUCGGCUGUCUCCUCCUUUGGUUUCUACAUCAAUGCCCAACAGAACUAGCUAAUUUCUCAUCCUUUGUCAUUGCCCUCAUCAGUCUUUUCACCCGCCGCCCCCCCACUACUCCGGUCUUACCCUCGAGCCUCCCGCUCCUCGCUUUUCCUGCUCUGUCAAGCCGCCCCUCUCUCGUUUUACCAUCUGCUCCCACAGUCUGUCCACACAGGAUAAAUUAUUUCAAAAGGGUGCAGAGUGACUCAGCACUUGAGGUUAAUGCAUACCAAUAGUAAAUGGGCCAGAUGGCUGGUGGCUGGUCAGCGAGGGGGACACAAGGGCAAACGGCCUCGAAGAAAAACAGACGCUUGGCUCUAACCGCCGACAGUAGGGCCAGAUAGAAACCACAACGAGAUUUUAAAAAGAGAGCAGGAGUGAAUACAAUUACUAUGAAAUGAGACAUUUAUACAAUGCUUUAUGAACCGCUGUAUGACUAAUAAUGAGUUUUUUACGAGUUCCAUCUUCCAGUGAGAUCACUUACCUUCACUUACCUACCUGGCUGGUGUGAACCUCUAAGAAGGUCUCAAUUGUUUUCAUACAACCCAUCCCAUACACCAUCUGGUUAUGUUUACAUUCUGUCUUUUCCUUUAAGAAAGCUGCAUUCAAAUUUGGUGUGAAAUAAAAAAGUUGGACCAUGAUAACCAUGAUGAAUGUCAAGCGGGCUUCCUAUUCUUCUAUACUCUGUACCCCUUUGCUCGGACCACAUCCAUCUUCAGCCGUUGUUUCUACUCUCUCAACCACCCACAUGUAAAGUUUUGUGACUGCAUCUUGCAAAACUGUGACGCUGUUGCAAUUGAAAGAAUCUGUCCCCAGCAAAGUACACCCACGCCUCUGUGGCAUAUCCCACGAAAGUGGGUGUCUCGGUGAUCACAUUUCGCCAUGGUUACUCACAGAAAGAGGCACAAGGUGACAACGAUGCCAGCCACAGGCUGUCACGGCUGGUAAUCACAGAAUCUCUGCAGUAUCGCAGCUCCUGAGCUCGCAUCCCAUAUUAUGUUUGGCAGGCCUGCUUGUGCGUAACCCAGACAGGCAACUUGAGAUACACAGCAAAAUGGACAGACUCAAAUUAACACUAUUGGAGUUAAUUUCAACACUUUUAAAGUGUCCCAUGGGGUCCACACUACGCAGUGUCAAUGUAACACUUUUUAAAGUGUUGCCAUUUUAACACUGUUAUAGAGUUAAUUUUAACACUUAUAUAGUUGAAAUUUAACAAUACUCAAGCGUUAGUUUCUCAACACCAGUGGGUAGUGUUAGAAAUUAAUACUCAUCGGAGUCAUUAAUUAACUCUUAUAGUGUGAUGUGCAUACUAUAAAAGGAGUUGCCCCAUUAACACUAUAAAGUGUUAUUGCUGCCCCGCCCCCCCACACAAAAAAAAAAUCUUUAAAUGAAAUGUGAAUAAUUAGAAAUACGAAUGACAAGUUCACUACUUUAACAUUUUUAUUUCUUCAAAUGCAUCAACAUUACCAAAUCUUUUUUCAUUGCUGUACAUUUAUCUAAAUGUAACAAUAAGGCACUAUGUAUCUUUGACUAUUGUCAUUAGAGCAUUGCUUGUCAAAUGGUCUAAAAUAAGUCAGUGCCUUCACAGAUAUGACAGAAAACACAUUCAUUUGGUCUUCUAUACAGUAUGCACUAAAGUGGUCAUCAUAGUACAUUGUUUGUACAUUACAGGAUAUUAUGAAAGCGUGCUGUUCAUGUAUUAUAAUAUCACAGAUCUUUUUGAACACAGGAAGAUCAUCGGUACAUCCAGUGCAUAAGUACAACCCAACCUGGUACUCAGUACCGUAAUAUCUGACCCACCUUGUACUUGUAACAUUUGAACAGGCGUCCAAAUGUAAUGUCUAAAGCUGCCACUGAUGUGUGUACCUUGCACGGGAGUGGUUUUCGGUCGAUAAUAAGGUAGAACCUUUGGAUAUUCUUCUUUUGCUCACCGAUGCAAAGGAGGAACGGUUGUUUGCGUCGACACUCUCAAGGAAGGUAGGAAUACUGGCUCCUUCCUGUAGGUCAGUUAAGAGACAUAAAUUACUAUAACAUCUUGAUCACAUUUCUGCAGAUAUACAGAGCAAAACUGUCUCAGAAUUCCAACAUCUAUUAAGGGAUUCUUGGUGUAGGAACUUUUGCAUACCUUAAGAUAUCUAACAAGACGGCUGGUUGCUUGAGCUGAACUGAUCUUGGUAGUUUUUUUCUGGCCCCUUGAAGUUGGAGGGAGUAGAUGCAGCAGCAAAAGGAUUGAAGACAGAUCACUGUCCCAUCCUAAAGGCAUAAAAAAUGUAUUUAUUUAGUACAACACUGAAAUAUAUAUUUCAAGAAAACGUUUUAUACUGACCAUUGUUAUCUUCAGACUCAGAUUCAGUUGCUGACAGCAACUCAUCCAUAUUCUUUGCAGUCUUGCAGUCUGUGAUGUUUGGCUUGAAGAAAGUUGACCACUUGGACAGGAACUUCUGAGACACUUCGUCACCAAACAUCAUUGAGAAAUCCUGGUCGAUCUAUAAACAAGGAAAACAAUAUUUUAAUAUACAGGUUCAAGCAUACAUCACAAAAUGAAUGAAAGGUCAAAUACUGAAAUGGAAGAUUGAAAAGAAGAUUAAAGAGAUUAUAGUAUAGUGCCGAAAAAUAUUAUAUUGUCCUGCACUGGACUAUAUUACUGUUCUACACUGGACAACUACAACCAAAGCAAAAGAGUUUUCUUACCAAUCCAGGUACAUCAAGAAAACGAGGGAACACAUCCAGGAAUGAAGAUGAUGCAUCAUCCCCAACCAUCUUCUGUCGAUUCUCAACUUCUCUUUGACCACAGAUUCAUCGCUGGAAUGUCUUAUUGUAGAUAUCGCCUCCCUGCACUCCUCACCAAAUAGCUGUUGGCAGGUUGAUAGAGAUUCUCGCCUGGUUUUUGGACCAUCCUGAAGAACGGCAUCUCAUGCUUCAAUUUAAGAAUAAGUUACUCAACACAAAAAUUGUAGACAGUGAAUAGACUGCAAAACAUUUUAAAAAACAGGUUGAAAAUGCAAGGGUGAGCAACCUACAAAAACUCAUCUGAAACAAGAUGAGUACAAACUAGAAAAGUGAAGAAGAUAUUGAAAUCACACUGAUUUGGUUUUCAGAUAGAACUUACAUAUCCAAGUUUGGAGAAUGGAUCACGGAGGUAUGGAAAAAGAGUCACAAUUCCCAGUGCAUAAUUGGUCCUUACACUUGACGGUGGAACCCUCCUUUAAAAAUAAGUCAUAGUUUACUUUUAAGCAUGUAUGUUUUGUAAGAAUAAAUACACCCUUACCACUUAUACAGAACAGCAUCAUUUAGCUACAACACAUGACAUAACCAAGUGACCUGCAAUUCUUACCCAUGUAGCUCUAUCAUAUCUGCAACCAGGAUGUUCACCAUUUGUUUACUAGUGUUUAUUAGUGUUUUAGUCUUAUCAUACUCAUUGAAGACUUCUUCACCCUUUGGAUUGGCCCUCAGAACACCCUCAACCAUCUGCCAAGAAAUAUUACAUUGUUAUGGCAUGCUUACGGUAAAAAUUAGUUUUUUUUUUAAAGAAUUUAACUUUUCUAAUGACAUUACUUUAUACUGCGAAUACAUUUACAAAAAAUAAUUAAUUUUGGAUUUCAAAUGUAUUUAUUCAAAGCUCUACCUGUUUUGCUUCAUUCUGGUCCAUUAACCCUGUUGGGUUCUUUCUUUUUUUUCCUUUUUCUUGUGGACUCCAGAAUAACGGUGGAAUCAGAUGAAUGGGAUAAAGCUGGGGAUAGUGCAGUCUGUGCCACUACCAAGGAUGAAUGGGAUGAAGUUGGGGACAGCGAUGUCAAUACAGAGGAGGAUGCUUGAUCUGCAACCAGCUCAACAUCCAGAUCUACAAAAUGGCAGACAGAACAAAGACAAUUUAAAUGUACCUAUCAGUAACAAAACAAUCUCAAUCUUAAAUAAAGCAUUUAAAAAGUACUAAGCAUAUUAUAUUCUUCCUUAAUUACUACCCAGUGAUAGAUCAUAUGUAUUUAAGACAAUGAUUGUCAAGUGUUACGCCACACAUCGUAUUUCUCACGCUGAAAAAAAAGUCCGCGCUGGCUCCCCUCCAACCUUCCAGACGGUGUCUGUAACCGUAACCGCUGCACGUAGUGUCCACGCCCGGUCAGCCGUAGCGUUCAGCCCCCCAUUCUUCAAAACUUGAGCCCUGCGGCGUUGAGUAACUAUAAGCACAGUAAAACGUAUUUGAGAAAGGAGUCCUUCCGAUUAACUUUCCGAUAGUAACUUCAUAUUAACUACCGACACUUCUGAUAAUCAAAAUGUAAUUUAGAUAUACAUAUACCCAGUCCUCGUAUGAGAAUAUUUGCUUUCAUGCAGCUAAGACGUGGGAACCGGUUCUGGCUCUUAGCUAGCCAGCUAACUAGCAUUUAUUUAUUUGAAAGAAUGUUGGCAUUACUAAAGUACCGUCACGUAACUUAACGUUACAUUAACAAACUUGAAACACUCAACAGGAAUUCUAUUUUGCUCACAGUCAGACUCAAUAGACCAGUAAACAGAAAACGUGUGAAAGUAGAAGAAACAAACUCUUGCUAACGUUAGCUUGGCAAACUUAGCUUGCCAACGUUAGCUUGCCAGUUACCGUACAGUAGUUUGUCCGCUCUGGGCGUAGGUUACGGUUGCUAGCUAGCUGACAUUAGCCUGGCUGCAGUAAAGGCGGCAGCAUAACAGUUAACCUACAUUAGAGCGGCUAUAAAUAUAUUACUAAUGUCUAAAUAUAUGUCCAUCUGUAUAUAAUAAUAGCACUCAUUAGGUUAUCUAAUUAACUGUUACUUACCGACACAAUGCAACACGUUUUCUUCAAUUUUGAACAAACUGUCCUCGAAAACGUUGUGCUGCUCGUUGCUCCAGUUGAGUUGUGCAGGUAAAUUACUUGAAUCCCGCCAGAUUGUUGCUCUCACGAGAUUAUUGUUCGCGCGAUGCCAGAGAGUAGUCACUCCUUACACCCGAGCUGAGAGACUGACGACCCAUAGAGUUGGUUUCACAAUAACAGUAAUAACACUCCAUUUUGACACCAACUCUUUUGUGGUGCAGUGUGAAAUCAAACAGAUUUAACAACAUAGAGAUUUAGAUCAAUUCCAAAUAGAGUUCGAUUGACUCUAUCUUUAUCAACACCAGAAAUUUAACUCUGCUCAAUUUGCUGUGUAGGAGUGAAACACUAAGCCACUCCAAAACACACCAGAGACUGCUAAAGAAAAAAGUUGAAUAGAGGCAACACAACUAACUUAAAAUCUCACCUAAAACAACCAUCCCACCCAGUCUUUCAACCUGAACCACUGUCGGUUCCUCCAGACUGUGGGUCCGCCUCUUUGGCCGGGAGCACCAUGCGCACGGGGCGGGGUUUCCAGACCUCUGGCCUUCGUUCGUCCCGGGCUUGCAGAUUGGUAGCGGGACCAAGACGCCCCGGAUCUCCCAGCAGCCACAGAGCGCAUUAAUAUGCUAUUAUAUUGUCAUACUGUCACAAUGUAAUCAGCGGCAUAUCGUUUAUCACAAUGAAUUUUGGUGCAAUAAUCACAAAACAAAAAUGUGUUAUUGUGAGAGCCCUUUCUGUCGGACCCACUAUUUCAUCAGUGGUUUAAAACAUGUAACCCUGAGUUGUGAGUCCCGGCAAGCCAUUAGCCCUUCUCUGAAAAUUUUCCAAUUUAUGGAAAUUAAAAGCAGUGAGCGAGCGCAGCUCAAAAACUAAUCAAAAGUAUUUUCAUCUCGUUCUCCAAGACACUCCGUAUUCAACGGAAACCAAAUUCCACCACAAUAAGCCUUGAUUAGCUAUAUUGCCUCCCACACGUUUACUUUCUUCUUUAUUAGAUGUUGGGCAGUGAUUUUAUUAUCUCAUUUAUCACAAUUAGAGCUGCAGUGUCUGGUCAUGUGUUGACCAUAUUAUUAUCCCUAGAACUGUUAGCGCUGUUAGCACAGCUGCCAGCCAGCUGCAGGCUCAGCCGUGACCACGUUGGGAAGCAAUCAAAAUGAUUUUCUCUUUUCCUGUCAAUUUUUCACCUGGCUCAUUUGAAAAGAAAUCCUGUAAAAGGGGUCUGACAUUUACACGCCAUGGUUAUACCUCAUGAUAACAAAUCAAGGCUGAAGCUGCUGUUGUGUUCAAAAAUAAAGAAACGCCGGACGGACAAAAGGGCAUCGCAGAUCGAAAGGUUAAAAUCAAAUGUAUUUAAUAAAAGACAUGGUGUUGGGGUAAAAAGAACAUCUCAGCUGAGGAGCCACUGGUCUUUGCAACCAACAGGCCACAGGGCCCAUUGACCAUCCCUAGUGCCCGUCUGCUGCCUCCACCAGCGAACUCCAGAACAAUGGUUCCUACAGGUAUUUAUACCGAUCCGUAAAUGUGUGAAAGUUAGAGUCCACACCUCUGGGAGUGGUCUCCUGGUGAGUUCAAUGUAACUCGGAUUUCGAAUGACCCUCAGUCAAUAUCAGUUGUUGUGCAAGUAUUACAUGCAUGCAUUCCAGUUGAUUACAUUACAUCAAAUACAAUCAUAACUGUACAUUGAUGUUAUUCGAUUACAGUUGCAGAAUUACAGUGGUUUUACAAUAUUGUCAUUACUUUAUUGAUUACACAGUUUCAGAAUCAUGGCUGUAUUCUGGUGUACACUAUAUGCAUUUUAUUAAUUUUAUGAACCGGGUCGUCAGUUUAUUUCUAAUAUCCUACACUGUGUAACGCUGGUAGAAGGUUAGCAUCCUUGCUACGACUGAUUCAGAGCUCAGUAAUUAGAUACGCAUACAUGGCGAUCGCGUUGACCUUGUUAAUAUUUUUACUCUUCACUGUGACCGGGUCAUCCACUGGCACAUUCUGCAAUAAAUGCUAUACAAACUGCUUCAGCUAGUGAAAGAUUGUGAGUUGGUUUUGAAGCUCACUGUGGGAUUCCAAAUGAACAUCAUCCAUCCCAUUUAUUUCUCGAUGUGGAUCAUUUUCUGCUCCGGAAACGAUGACUGUGAGGAAUUAUUGUCAUCAUCUUCAAGGUGGUGGUGUAAUUUACAGUGGGAUUGCUUUUUCCAGAUACCCAAAACCGAUUACAGAAAGUCAUUGUGACAAAAACGCAGAUCGAAACUUUGCAUUGAAUAAUGCCCCUGUCCCGGAAACCUAAAGAUGCGAUUGUAUAAAGUGUUAACAAUAAACCCUUUUCCCAUCAUGUUGCGACACGAACACGAUGUCACUUUUUACAAGGUUAGAAAAGGUUUUUUAAUGUAUUCAGCUUUGUAUGUUUAACAGAACUCAAUUGGUUUUAGUUUCUUUAGCUGAAGAAAUGGAAUCAUCAAUUCAUCAUUAUCUUUCAGAAUAUAACACCGUAACAUAUAUUGAGUAAUUACUUAACAGUGUUUUUCUAAAAGUAAACUUGAUACUGCUUGCUAAAUCGGUUUAAUAGCCACUUCAGUAUUGAGCUUUUUGAAUUUUCAAAGCUGUAAACCAAAUGGACAGUAUCUCCUUCUUCAGACAAGUUCAGACAACAAAGCAUCGUAGUAAUCCUUACGUAGUUUUCACUGUAAGCUGGUUUUUGUUUAGGAAAACCACAUGAACAAAACUAAAAAAAAUGUUUGUUUGUUGGAUCCAGCCACCUGUCCUCUCGCUCGCCAUAUAUACGAUAUAUCGAUGUUUGAAACCAUGCCACUACAUCUGACUUCUGCAUAGUCACAUGGUUGCAUUUGAUAGUGGUUCCACCACAAAAAAAACGUAAUAGACUUUCCAUUGGUAUUAUUUUCCUCCUGAGUUACACAGGAAAUACAAAAUAAAAUGCAAGAAAGAUAACAACAAACCAAUAUUUUGACUAUUUCACAACCCACCAUGUCACAGGCCUGUAAUAUCCAAGUCUCCCAACUCCUAAACAGAGACAAAUACGUUUUAGGUCCACCAGCAAACACUUUUCCCACUCCGUACAGACUUUUCAUUAUGUUGAGCUGAUAAUAGUGGCGGACAAAUUGAAUCGAAAUCCGCUGCGCUGUAUCUGAGGGCUCGCCAUGCGCCUCAGUAUGUUUGCAACGGCUCUCAUUCUCUGCUAAAGGCAUUUUCUUUGUGAGAGAGAGAUGAGGUGAUUUAUCUCCAUCACUCUGUCCUGAUACCCGGGAGGACCCACAGGUGUCCGGAAUCCAGCUGUACCUGCCCUGUGUCCCUGGCUGUCAGUCAUGAUGUGGGAGAGAGAGAGAGAGAGAGAGUGUCCAUUUGCCUGCCCCGCAAAGUAUUCACAUACAGGUGACAUUUCAAAAAAGGAGUUUGUUUGGUUAUUUCUGGUAACACUGUUUUCCUCAUUCAUCUUCAUGUUCUCAUCUAUUUAUCUGUCGUCAUUUUACCAGGGGUCAAUGAGACCAUUGGAGUAUUAAGGUUUUCAAGGUUUUUAUUUCACUUGUAUGAAAUGUUAUGAUGUGAAGGACUUUGAGUCUGCCUUGUGUAUGAAAAGCGCUAUACAAAUAAAAUUACCUUGCCUUCAGUGAGGUUUUGUUUGCCCAUAAGUCCCUGAGUGAUACCUGCUGACAGAUACACAGAUUAGGACUGUAAAGUCUCUCUCUCUCUCUCUCUCUCUCUCUCUCUCUGAGAGGGUGCGUGCAGGUGGUGAGCUGAGAGCGUUAGCGUGUUUCAUGUCGGUUUUUCGCAAAUAAUUGACAGCUAAAGUCAACGUUGUGUACGCGUUGUGGGAAUGUGCACUUUGAAUGUAUCUGCAGCGUUUCGGAGUUUGCAGGACGGCGUGCUGCACGCCGCCAUGGAUUUCGGCAGGCUGACGCGGAAGCACGGCGUGAGGAUCGCGCUGAGCCCCUCGUACUCGGUGGAGGACUGCAGUCUGGCCGUGGGGAAGCUGGUGGGCCACCGCAGCGUGAAGUCCGCAGCGCGCAUGAACAACGCGGUGGUCAUCUUCCUCGACAGUGUGGAAAAAGCGGACGCGGUGGUGGUCAGCGGGAUCGCGGUGCACGGCGCGCUCGUGCCCGUUCUGCCUCUCUCCACGCCGGCGGUGAGAGUGACGGUGUCGAACGUCCCCCCGUUCAUCGGGGACGAGGCUCUGGUCAAGGAGCUGUCAAAGCACGGGAAGGUGGUGUCUCCCGUAAAGAAGGUCUCUUCGGGGUGCAAGUCCCCGCUGCUGAGACACGUGGUUUCACACAAAAGGCAACUCCUCAUGGUCCUCAACAACAGGACCAAGGAGCUCAACCUGAUGUUUGGAGUCGAAGUGGAGGACUUUGUGUAUGUGGUGUUUGCCACUUCUGACAAUAUGAACUGUUUCAGGUGUGGCAGGAAAGGACAUCUCGCCAGGACAUGUCCGGGAAAGGACUCUACAGAGGGUGCAGGAGAACGAGGUGUGGAGGAUCGGGACAGUCAGGGAAGACAGGAGAAGACAGGUGGGGUACAACAGGAGGGAAAGGAGGCACAGGAAGAGACAGGUGGGGUCAAGCAGGCGGCUGAGAACGGACAGCAGGGGACUGGUGGGGUCCAGCAGGGUGGGGAGGCGAGUGAUGGGGGGCAGGAAGGGACAAGUGGAGGACAACAGGUAGGGCGAAUGUGUGGGGAGGGGACAAGUGAAGUUCAGCGGGAGAGUGAGGUGUGUGAGAGGGGAGAAGAUGGAGGGUGUGGUGGAGUCCAGCCGGCCUGCCAGGGGGGCGACAGAGUGACUGAGGGGCUGAUUGAGGCCCAACAGGUGGGCCAGGUGAGUGUGGGGGUGAAUGAAGAGACAGGUGGUGUCAGACGGCUCAGCCAAGAGAGAAGGGAAGGUGUGAGUGGGGUUCAACAGGUGGUUCUGGGGGGUGAAGAAGGGCAGGAGAAGCUGGAAAAAAGUCAAGAGACACGUGCUGAGGAAAUGCGGUCUGAAAGCAGCGCCGAUGACAUGG
ensembl:lncRNA